GACGAACGCUGGCGGCGUGCCUAAUACAUGCAAGUAGAACGCUGAAGAGAGGAGCUUGCUCUUCUUGGAUGAGUUGCGAACGGGUGAGUAACGCGUAGGUAACCUGCCUUGUAGCGGGGGAUAACUAUUGGAAACGAUAGCUAAUACCGCAUAACAAUGGAUGACCCAUGUCAUUUAUUUGAAAGGGGCAAAUGCUCCACUACAAGAUGGACCUGCGUUGUAUUAGCUAGUAGGUGAGGUAACGGCUCACCUAGGCGACGAUACAUAGCCAACCUGAGAGGGUGAUCGGCCACACUGGGACUGAGACACGGCCCAGACUCCUACGGGAGGCAGCAGUAGGGAAUCUUCGGCAAUGGGGGCAACCCUGACCGAGCAACGCCGCGUGAGUGAAGAAGGUUUUCGGAUCGUAAAGCUCUGUUGUAAGUCAAGAACGAGUGUGAGAGUGGAAAGUUCACACUGUGACGGUAGCUUACCAGAAAGGGACGGCUAACUACGUG
rnacentral:rRNA from 1 species